UAGGAAAUAGGAAUACUGAUCCGGUGAACCACCGCCAAUAUAAUUAUAAUUCAAAGGGGGGUUGGGGUCGAACAUAGCAACCCGCUCGUUAACUCUCUCACACUCAUGGUCUGAACACCGAAAGCAUCACACACAAGAGGCUGGACUUUGAAGAUUCCCACUCCGUAAGAUUUUCCACAACGUAAAGUGACCUCUGCAUCAGCAAACAUGUAGUGGUCAGGGAUCUUGGUCAUCUUCAGAGAUUUUGUAGAAUUAUUAGUGUCAGAUAUGUACUUUACCUCGAUCCCCAACCUGGGAGUACCGACCAGUAAAAAACCAGAUGGUCGGGCGAAACCGCGAGAUCCAGUAGAGGGGAUAUAGUCCAUGAG
rnacentral:lncRNA from 1 species